rnacentral:rRNA from 1 species
AUUGAACGCUGGCGGCAUGCCUAACACAUGCAAGUCGAACGAGUGGCGGACGGGUGAGUAAUGUCUGGGAACCUGCCUGAUGGAGGGGGUAACCUACUGGAAACGGUAGCUAAUACCGCAUACCAUCGGAUGUGCCCAGAUGGGAUUAGCUAGUAGGUGGGGUAAAGGCUCACCGAGGCGACGAUCCCUAGCUGGUCUGAGAGGAGGACCAGCCACACGGGAACGGAGACACGGUCCAGACUCCUACGGGAGGCAGCAGUGGGGAAUAUUGCACAAUGGGGGCAAGCCUGAUACAGCCAUGCCGCGUGUAUGAAGAAGGCCUUCGGGUUGUAAAGUACGUUCAGCGGGGAGGCGUUACCCGCAGAAGAAGCACCGGCUAACUCCGUGCCAGCAGCCGCGGUAAUAC